rnacentral:rRNA from 1 species
UUAACACAUGCAAGUCGAACGAUGAAGCCCAGCUUGCUGGGUGGAUUAGUGGCGAACGGGUGAGUAACACGUGAGCAACCUGCCCCUGACUCUGGGAUAAGCGCUGGAAACGGCGUCUAAUACUGGAUACGAACAAGAAUCGCAUGGUUACUUGUUGGAAAGAUUUUUCGGUUGGGGAUGGGCUCGCGGCCUAUCAGCUUGUUGGUGAGGUAAUGGCUCACCAAGGCGUCGACGGGUAGCCGGCCUGAGAGGGUGACCGGCCACACUGGGACUGAGACACGGCCCAGACUCCUACGGGAGGCAGCAGUGGGGAAUAUUGCACAAUGGGCGCAAGCCUGAUGCAGCAACGCCGCGUGAGGGAUGACGGCCUUCGGGUUGUAAACCUCUUUUAGCAGGGAAGAAGCGAGAGUGACGGUACCUGCAGAAAAAGCACCGGCUAACUACGUGCCAGCAGCCGCGGUAAUACGUAGGGUGCAAGCGUUAUCCGGAAUUAUUGGGCGUAAAGAGCUCGUAGGCGGUUUGUCGCGUCUGCUGUGAAAUCUGGGGGCUCAACCCCCAGCCUGCAGUGGGUACGGGCAGACUAGAGUGCGGUAGGGGAGAUUGGAAUUCCUGGUGUAGCGGUGGAAUGCGCAGAUAUCAGGAGGAACACCGAUGGCGAAGGCAGAUCUCUGGGCCGUAACUGACGCUGAGGAGCGAAAGGGUGGGGAGCAAACAGGCUUAGAUACCCUGGUAGUCCACCCCGUAAACGUUGGGAACUAGUUGUGGGGUCCAUUCCACGGAUUCCGUGACGCAGCUAACGCAUUAAGUUCCCCGCCUGGGGAGUACGGCCGCAAGGCUAAAACUCAAAGGAAUUGACGGGGACCCGCACAAGCGGCGGAGCAUGCGGAUUAAUUCGAUGCAACGCGAAGAACCUUACCAAGGCUUGACAUAUACGAGAACGGGCCAGAAAUGGUCAACUCUUUGGACACUCGUAAACAGGUGGUGCAUGGUUGUCGUCAGCUCGUGUCGUGAGAUGUUGGGUUAAGUCCCGCAACGAGCGCAACCCUCGUUCUAUGUUGCCAGCACGUAAUGGUGGGAACUCAUGGGAUACUGCCGGGGUCAACUCGGAGGAAGGUGGGGAUGACGUCAAAUCAUCAUGCCCCUUAUGUCUUGGGCUUCACGCAUGCUACAAUGGCCGGUACAAUGGGCUGCAAUACCGUGAGGUGGAGCGAAUCCCAAAAAGCCGGUCCCAGUUCGGAUUGAGGUCUGCAACUCGACCUCAUGAAGUCGGAGUCGCUAGUAAUCGCAGAUCAGCAACGCUGCGGUGAAUACGUUCCCGGGUCUUGUACACACCGCCCGUCAAGUCAUGAAAGUCGGUAACACCUGAAGCCGGUGGCCUAACCCCUUGUGGGAGGGAGC